rnacentral:misc_RNA from 1 species
GAUGAAGAACGUAGCGAAAUGCGAUAAGUAAUGUGAAUUGCAGAAUUCAGUGAAUCAUCGAAUCUUUGAACGCACAUUGCGCCCGCCAGUAUUCUGGCGGGCAUGCCUGUUCGAGCGUCAUUACAACCCUCAGGCCCCCGGGCCUGGCGUUGGGGAUCGGCGGAGCCCCCCGUGGGCACACGCCGUCCCCCAAAUGCAGUGGCGGUCCCGCCGCAGCUUCCAUCGCGUAGUAGCUAACACCUCGCGACUGGAGAGCGGCGCGGCCACGCCGUAAAACACCCAACUCUUCUGAAGUUGACCUCGAAUCAGGUAGGAAUACCCGCUAAACUUAAGCAUAUCAAUAAGCGGAGGA